UUCUAUUUUUAAUCCAAUAAUUGCCCCUAUAUGUUUUCUUCUGUGUUAUCUUAUAUGCAAAUCGAUAUGUACUCAAAAUAUGAUUUGAUCAAGGAUCUUAAUCCUACCAAGGAUAAGUGGAGGAUUAAGGUUAAGGUGGUUAGGACUUGGAAGGUUCCUAAUUUUCAGACAAAGGAUUUUGAUGACAAUGUUGAGAUGGUUUUGUUGGAUGAACAGGGUGGAAGGAUCUAUGCUACUGUCAAAGGUUCUUUACAAGUGCGAAAAAAAAUUCGUGAAGGAGAAGUAUAUUUUAUAAUAAAAAAAUUGGAGUUGGGUUAAACAAUGAUAAUUUCAGGCCAACCAGGCAUGGUUAUCGUCUAUCUUUCAACUUGAAGACGGAUGUUAAAUCCACUGUUGAUGCAACUAUUCCUGCCAAUGGAUUCGAUUUUGUUGAUUUUGACAUUAUUGAAAAAGAAUCGCCAGACUCUCCUUAUUUAGUGGACGUCAUCGGUUUACUAUCAGGAAUUGGGGAAGUUCGUGAGCAUGUAGUCUCCGGGGUCACAAGCUUGAGUGCACUUUGUGGGAACAAUAUGUGGAUGAAGCGCAAUCGUUCUUGGCAAAUAAUCAGUCUGCUCAGAACGUGAUAAUAGUCCAGCUUGCAAGGAUAAAAAGUUUUAAGGGUAUUUUUUUAUAUUUGUUGAUUUUUUUUAAUAGUGUCAUACUCUAAUUGUCUCUCUAUGUUUCCCACUUUAUCGUCUUCUAAAUUAUAUAGGUAAAAUUGGAAUAACAAAUACAAAGUAUACGACAAGGAUUUUCUUGGAUUCCAAUGUACCAAAAGUUGUCGACUUCAAAAAAAGGUUUAGUUUUGUAGCUUUAGUCUCUUUGAAGUUUAACAUAUCCGCGUUUGUCUUUCGUGAAACUUUUUUUUUUAAAACACAUUUCGAGAAGGUCGAUAUACUUUAACUCCAUACCUUGCAAGCCUCUAUAUUUCUGCAUUAGAAACGAUAAGUCGUCAUCUUAAUGAAAUCAAAUUGUAUUUUAGGGUUGAUGGUUAUAAUUAAUGAUUUAGUUCCCAAUGUGGAGUAUAAAUGUUCCUUUUAUAUAGAAGCCUUUAUUAACUUAUGGCAUAGAAAAAUUGCAAAACAUGGUUUGUCUUGACUUUCGACAUUGAGUCAAUGGCUGAAUCAUCUUCAACAAAGCGGGAAAGGGUUGAGAAGCAGAGGCAUGAGUCACUCGAAACUCUUCCAGACGAGUUAUUAUUAGAGAUUUUUGCAAGGGUGGCAGCUCAUAACAUCCAUGACAUAUGCAACAUCAAACAAAGUUGUAAGGAUUUUCUUUGCAUUGCAAGGGAAAAUUUUUUGCUUGUGCGUGCAACAAAUAUUCUUCUUGGUAUAGAGUGAUAGAACAGUGAGGGAUGAGGUUUAAGACAGAAACAUGAUGCACUGUGACUGAUGAGGUUGAAUAAUGACUUUAUUUUUUGCUGCUGUUGAACUCUGUUUUGUAGUAAACAUAUUCGAUAUUUAACAAUUUCUUGGGAACUUUUAAAGUCAUUAUUAAACUCUUAAAAAGAAUCUUUGAAAAAACAUAAGUAUACAUUUAUGUGUGAAGCGUUUGGGAUUGACGUUACACAACUUCUUCUUUUUUUUUUAAAUAUUCCAAUCGGUUCAUUGCUUCGCAACUAAUCCGAUUCGGGGCGGGUCCAGGAUUAAGGCUUUAAACCUCUCUGAAAGGUGGUACUGGGUAAGUUUGUUUUAAGUUAUUUAUGAUUAUAUGGUGAGGUACCAAUUUCAUGUGUCAUUUAUGAUUACCGAGAUAAGUCACCAAGUGUAGAUAUUACCCAUAUUGAGUUUAAAAGCUAUUUAUGAUUAUAUGGUGAGGUACCCCGUAAUCCGAAUGGCAACAUAUUAUAUAAUCAGUGCAAGCAUUUUCUCAUAUGAAUAAUUUUAACAUCUUUUUUGGAUUUUAACAAAAAAAACUUCUACAUUAGUUCAAUGGAUGAAUCAACUUCUUCAACAGAAAUGAGUCCCUCAAAACUAUGCCUAACGAUAUUUUUAUUCGAGAUUUUUGCAAGGGUUGAAGCUCAAACCGUCAGUGACAUCUACAAUGUCCAGCAAACCUGUAAGGAUUUUCGUAAUAUUGCACGGGAUUCUUAUUUGUUUAAAUGUGCAAUUCAGAUUUUCCUUGCUGAAGAAAUGUAAAUCUCUGAACAUCUUCAUGAUG